UGCCCCGUCCGUGUUGCUCAUCUACUCGAGAACAAGGCCAUCUAUUGGAGGAAAAGCAGAACUACAUUUAUCACAGAGGGAGGGGGAUUCUGUUCUUAGAAAUGCUGAGCAUACAUUAGAUUGGACUUUAAUUCAAUCUAUGAAUCUAUCUAUAUGAUUUCCCACAGAUAUUGUGUUCCAUUUAGAUAAAAAGAUAUUGUUAUGAAGAAUAAAUGCAUUAAUAUGUAUUUAUAGAUCAAAGGUUGGUUCUGUAAUUCGAUUCACAAACAUGAUAUCAUUUUUAAAAAACGUGCAUUUCCAUUUACAGGGUCGUGUGUUUGAAUGUUGAGUGAUGAAAAGAAGAAACAAUAGGCCUACAGACAGUUGCACAAUAGCAGUGUUUGCUGUGUCUCUGUUCAAACACGCUUGUAUCUUUUCCUCCUUCAUCCUGUAGACCAGAGAACAGAGCCUCUUCUCGCAUGUCCUCUCAAGCAAUGGCAGCAUGGUCCCUAUCUGGUCCACAUAGAAACAACAGGAAAUUGUUUUGUUUGGGUGUUUGCUUGUUUCUCUUUUCAGUAUGUCUAGUUUCUUUGUCAAUUCUAGAUAUGGAGUUAAAAUGUGGACCAAAAUAAGUCAGAACAGAAUUCCAAAAGAUUCCGUUUUGUUGUUUUUUUCUACAUCUCUCUCCUGCCUCAUUCCUUCUCUUGCUGCCACAGGUUAAAACAACAGUACCCUUACUGUGCCAGUAGACUGCAAAACAUAUCUCUUACUUAAUGUAAAAUAAUGUCUCUUAUUUUGAAAGGCACAAACCAGAUGUGCUCCUCCUAGCUAAAACAGUGGUUUGACUGGUUCAGGCUCCUGACUAUUGACCCACAGGCGGACCUGACAAACUCGUCUACUUCAGUAUCAGAGGAGUUUGGAGAAGAUGUCUCCUCCAGAGCACCUUGGUCUUUGCAGAGCACAGCAACAACAAACUGACCCCUAUUGCACUGAAUGCUAUCACUGCUGCCAGCAAGGAGGGAGGAGAAGUACUGUAUUAUGCCUGAUAGCUGGACGCAAAUCUGUAAAGAAUCUCCUCCCCAGAGUGUCUGCUAAGCUGGAUGUGGCUACUAUUUCAGACAUCACUGAGGUCGAAUCCCAAGACGCUUUUGUCAGGACCGUGUAUCCUGGUGAGUCCUUGUUGUGAUAAAUGCAGUAAGAGGCAUAAACAACAAUGAAAAUGUAGAGAGGACGGAGGAAAGGCACACCAACCAAAUGGAAGACCUGAUGCUCUGGUCUCUGUCUUAGAGUUAGAACCCAGUAUUUUGGUAACUCAUCAUAAUAAUAGAGCUUAGACAUACCUAGAUUAAUGCUGUAGAAGCAUUAAGUGUGGUGCACUUAAUCAUGAAACAUUUUGGCAAAGUUUUGGUCAUGAUGCUGCAGCUUAUUUAUGCAUGCUGUACAAUUCAGACAAUGUGUAGCCUGCACAGAAGAAUAAAAUACUGAAUGUAGACUAAAUUGUUAUGUGCACUCACUAUUUGGCUGAUGUUGCAGGUCAAGGGUUAAGUUUACUUGUAUAUAUUCAAUAUACAGAGACAAGAAAUAUCACAUGCAGCAAUAUUGUUUGUGACCUGUUAAUGACUGCCAGAUCAAGUCCAGCCAUCCUAGCUGUCACUCUAGCAUAAAAGCCUCCCAGAAGAAUCUCUAAUCACAAUUUGAUGGGGCCCAUUAACCUCAUGAAAUAUAUAUGUGCGACUGAAAUCAUCCACUUAAACUUU
ensembl:lncRNA